AACGAACGCUGGCGGCAUGCCUAACACAUGCAAGUCGAACGAGACCUUCGGGUCUAGUGGCGCACGGGUGCGUAACGCGUGGGAACCUGCCCUUAGGUUCGGAAUAACUCCCCGAAAGGGGUGCUAAUACCGGAUAAUGUCUUCGGACCAAAGAUUUAUCGCCUUUGGAUGGGCCCGCGUUGGAUUAGCUAGUUGGUAGGGUAAAAGCCUACCAAGGCGACGAUCCAUAGCUGGUCUGAGAGGAUGAUCAGCCACACUGGGACUGAGACACGGCCCAGACUCCUACGGGAGGCAGCAGUGGGGAAUAUUGGACAAGGGGCGAAGGCCUGAUCCAGCAAUGCCGCGUGAGUGAUGAAGGCGUUAGGGUUGUAAAGCUCUUUUACCCGGGAUGAUAAUGACAGUACCGGGAGAAUAAGCUCCGGCUAACUCCGUG
rnacentral:rRNA from 1 species